AGUGAACGCUGGCGGUAGGCCUAACACAUGCAAGUCGAACGGAAGCACAGUAAGAGUUUGCCCUUACGGGUGGCGAGUGGCGGACGGGUGAGGAAUACAUCGGCAUCUUCUUUUUCGUGGGGGAUAACGUAGGGAAACUUACGCUAAUACCGCAUACGACCUACGGGUGAAAGCAGGAGAUCUUCGGACCUUGCGCGAUUGAAUGAGCUGAUGUCGGAUUAGCUAGUUGGCAGGGUAAAGGCCCACCAAGGCGACGAUCCGUAGCUGGUCUGAGAGGAUGAUCAGCCACACUGGAACUGAGACACGGUCCAGACUCCUACGGGAGGCAGCAGUGGGGAAUAUUGGGCAAUGGGCGCAAGCCUGAUCCAGCCAUACCGCGUGAGUGAAGAAGGCCUUCGGGUUGUAAAGCCCUUUUGUUGGGAAAGAAAAGCAGCAGGUGAAUACCCCGCUGUUCUGACGGUACCCAAAGAAUAAGCACCGGCUAACUUCGUG
rnacentral:rRNA from 1 species